rnacentral:lncRNA from 1 species
CGCCAAUUUGGUCGGUUCGGGCACGCGAACAGGCGCCGAACGGACAGCAUCUCUCCUGUCCGCCCAAGGCUCCAACAUCAUGUAUAAUACAAGCAGUUCAAUACAAACGAUUGCAAUUAUGCAAGGUUUGCACGAGGGCAAACAACAACUAAUUCACAUGUGAAAGCAUCGAAACUAACUAAACAUUUAUCCACAUACAUAUCAUUUGAUUACAUUUGAAUCAAACACAAGUAAACCAUUAUUUACAUUCAUUCUUUCCAUUCAUUUACAUUUAUAUCACAUUAGCUUUCAUCCAAAAUACAUUAAUUACAUCAUUUAACAUUUCUAGUUCAACAUACAAAGUUGAAUAUACAUAGGGAAUGCCUAUACUCCGAGGGCCGCUAUCUACGGCGCGAUACCCUUGCCUCGAUCCUCCGCCGCCCCGCUUGCGCACGGAUCUGCAGGGUUAGUGAUGGUGUGAGAAUUAAAAGAAGUUUCCAGUGGGUUCGGCCGCCGACCGCGCCGACUCGCCCACUAGGUCUAUUCAGACAUAUGUAUUUCAAUAAAGGAGAAUAUCAAACCCACUAAUAC